ACUGCUAUCGGGAUGGGACUAAGACAUGCUAGUCGUGCGUCUCCAAGCUAUGAUGGAGAAGCGGCGUACAGCUCAGUAACACGUGGCUAACCUACCCUCAGGAUGGGAACACCUCCGGGAAACUGGAGUUAAUUCCAAAUAGGUGAUGAAUACUGGAAUGUGUCAUCGCCCAAAGGGCAUUUAAAUCAUGCUUUUAGAUGCUGCCUAAGGAUGGGGCCGCGACCGAUCAGGUUGUUGGUGAGGUAAAGGCUCACCAAGCCGUUAACCGGUACGGGCCGUGAGAGCGGGAGCCCGGAGAUGGGCACUGAGAUAAGGGCCCAGGCCCUACGGGGCGCAGCAGUCGCGAAAACUUCGCAAUACGCGCAAGCGUGACAGAGGCCAUCCCGAGUGCCUUCCGCUGAGGAGGGCUUUUACCCAGUGUAAACAGCUGGGAGAAUAAGGAGAGGGCAAGCCUGGUGUCAGCCGCCGCGGUAACACCAGCCCCUCGAGUGGUGGGGAUGAUUAUUUGGCCUAAAGCGUCCGUAGCCGGCCGGGUAAGUUUCCCGUUAAAUCCAACGUCUCAAGCGUUGGACUGCGGGAAAUACUGCCUGGCUAGAGAGUGGGAGAGGUCAGCGGUAUUCUGGGGGUAGGGGCGAAAUCCUUUGAUCCCCGGAGGACCACCAGUGGCGAAGGCUGCUGACUAGAACACGUCUGACGGUCAGGGACGAAAGCUGGGGUAGCGAACCGGAUUAGAUACCCGGG
rnacentral:rRNA from 1 species